rnacentral:rRNA from 1 species
CCUACGGGCGGCUGCAGUGAGGAAUAUUGGUCAAUGGUCGGGAGACUGAACCAGCCAAGCCGCGUGAGGGAGGAAGGUACAGAGUAUCGUAAACCUCUUUUGUCAGGGAACAAAGGCGGGGACGUCUCCCCGGAUGAGUGUACCUGAAGAAAAAGCAUCGGCGAACUCCGUGCCAGCCGCCGCGGUAAUACGGGGGAUGCGAGCGUUAUCCGGAUUUAUUGGGUUGAAAGGGUGCGCAGUCGGUAUGUUAAGUCAGCGGUCAAACCCCGGGGCUCAACCCCGGCCCGCCGUUGAAACUGGCAGUCUCGAGUGGGAGAGAAGUAUGCGGAAUGCGCGGUGUAGCGGUGAAAUGCAUAGAUAUCGCGCAGAACUCCGAUUGCGAAGGCAGCAUGCCGGCUCCACACUGACGCUGAGGCACGAAAGCGUGGGUAUCGAACAGGAUUAGAUACCCCAGUAGUC